GCCGCUCCCGCCUUCGCAGCCAGCGCGGGCUUACCUAGUGUUAAGUCUCUCUUCUUGGGUGGCCCACGCCUAAGCGACCUAUGCUUCUUGUUCUUCUGAAAUCUUACAGUUCCCCUUAGAUGUAGGUUGGCUAUUGGUAGCUUCCGAUUCAGAUAAGUUUGGAACUUGACAGAUGUUUUCGGGGGGCUGCUUUAGAGAGAGGCUUUGGACUAUGCAAGGGGAGGAAGGGAGGUUCAGAAAAACGGGGUCGGGGGGUCGGCAGGGACGACUCUUAAAGUGUGGAAGGUGGAAGGCUGGGAGGGGAGAUUAAAGGGCACCGAAGACCAGCUUUGUUUGCUCCUAUCAAGGUGAUCCUUUCCAGAGCAAGAGCCAUAUCCAUG
rnacentral:lncRNA from 1 species